rnacentral:rRNA from 1 species
UACGAAGGGUGCAAGCGUUACUCGGAAUUACUGGGCGUAAAGCGUGCGUAGGUGGUUUUUUAGGUCCGUGGGGAAAGCCCUGGGCUCAACCUGGGAAUGGCAGUGGAUACUGGAAAGCUAGAGUGCGGUAGAGGGUAGUGGAAUUCCUAGUGUAGAGGUGAAAUUCGUAGAUAUUAGGAAGAACACCAGUGGCGAAGGCGGCUCACUGGCCCGGUACUGACGCUGAGGCGCGAAAGCGUGGGGAGCAAACAGG